CCGACCGCCAAGAAACCAUAUCUGUUUACUAAAAUCUUGUAUCAACUUUUGAUUUUUGAAGUCAGUGCGGGGGCAGAAGAUCUUAACCAAAUUAAUUGAAAAACUACAUUUAUUUUUCUUUUAAUAUAAGGCACCAAUGCCCCCCUAUUAGAAUUUCCAAUCUCAAAAAAAAAAAAUUUCAUACAUUCUUGCUCCACCCUAAUGGGCAUCGAGGAGGAUGAAUUUAUCGAGUACGUGGUAGAGGGCAUUAGUGACACAAAUUUAAGACUAUACGCUCUAGUCCAUGAUUUUAAGGAUCGUGCUCAGCUACUUCGAACUUUCGGCAAGGUAGAACAAACGAAGCCAGGCGGCUCUAAGCCAACAACAAAGCCUAUGACAACGACAACGAUGAGACAACAGAAGAAGGAGGGGCCACGAUGUUAUAAUUGCAACUGCGUGGGACACAUCGCUGUGGAGUGUAGGAAGACGAAACGCGAGUAUGGUGCGUGCUACGGAUGCGGUUCUAAAGAACAUCUUUUACCGAAGUGUCCAAAUAAAAAGUACACGGUCCAGUUGUUGGACAACGAAAAGGAAGACUUUAAUGCCUCAUAGACACUGGUAGCCCGAUAAACUUUAUAAGACGGUCGUGCCUUCCUAAAGGAAUAAAAUUAAAUUUAAAGAUUAACAAUGUGUCCUACUUUGGCAUAAAUGAAAGUAAAUUAUUAAUCGAAGGAAUGUUUUCGUGUUUUGUUCAUUAGAAAAAUUUUAAAAUUUUGGUAGAUAUGUUUGUAGUAAAUGACAGAUCAACGGUCUAUGAGGUUGUUCUGGGAAGAAGUUUUUUAAAAGCUGGUAAUUUUAAGUUAGUUUCUGAUUAUGACAAAGAUGUGUACAACGAUAACGAAUUGUAGUAAUAUUUAUAAUAGUAAUAGUGCAAUACUAGCAUGUAAGCGUAAUAAUAAGUAGUAAGUAAGUAAUUGUUAAGCAGUGGCAACACUUAAAUAGUAUGUAAGUAAAUGUUAAACAGUGGCAACACUUAUAAAAGAAUGCAAGAUGAAAAUAAAAGAGACGCGAGUCAGUUUGUGACCGACCGCCAAGAAAGUAAGUUGUUCUUUAUUUCGUUCACCGACUAUCAGUUGCCUUUGAAAUAUCUGUGACUUAAAUAGAUAGAUAUGAAACUUUACAACUGAAACGCUGAUAAAGCAAUUCCCAAAAAAAAAAAAACAAUUACGCUGUGAUUCAAGUAAUAAGCUCCCUAAAAACAAUAUGGAAAAUUUCAAGAUUCGUAACAUCCGUAUUAUAACCCGCAAGUUAAGUUUCUCAAGUUUCUUCAAUAAUUCGAUACAUAGCAUGGCAAAUUUUGCAUUAAGGCUGAUCAUUGUUCUAAGCUCAUUCAGUAAAUGUUUGAAACAAGUAAUUAAAAAAGAAUAACAACACAUGUUGAAAGAUACGAUAUACUUCCGCUAGAACAGUUUGGAUUUCGUGCCUACAGUUCACCAAGUGCAUAGAAUAACCAAACAAAUUAAGAAUAAUUUCAAUAAAGGAAAAAGCACAGGUAUGGCGUUCCUUGACAUUGAAAAAGCGUUUGACACCUUUAAGCUCAACACUUUGCUACAUAAGCUUUUAACUCAAUUAAUUUCAUAAAGAUUGUACAAUAAUUUUUUAAGUGAAAGGACAUUUAGAGUUACUGUAAUCUAUUUGAAAAUAAAUAAAUGCUUCAAAAACACAGGUUAUCUAUUUCACUCCAAAAAGGAAAGCCUGCCUAUUUGCUAAGCAAUUACCUAGUUAUUUGCGGUACGAGUACAGGUUGGCAAACAAGUGUAAACUAUCUUGGGGUAUAUCCGAUUUGCAAAUAAUUUGUUUUUAUAAAAGUUAUUUGUUCAUUAUUUAUUUCCCUUUCGUUUGCUUAAUGUUCAAUAUUUGUUUAGAAAUUAUUCAUUUUUUUAAAUU